ACCUGGAACUUGAGAAGCACUAGCAGACAGUGACAGCCGCCAUAUUUCAUUGUGAUGUCCACGUAAUCAAGUGAAUUAAUGCUAUUUGGUUUUUUACGUGUGAAAGCCAUCGUUUUGCUAUUUUACUAACGGUUAGUCGUAAUCACGGCAGUUUAUUACAGUCGUUUAUACUAGGUGUUGUCCAGAAAGAAGAACAUUACAGCGAGAAAGAGCUUCUAAAAGGAAGUGUUGUCUGCUAAGGUCCCAACCAGUCAACAAGCUAUAUCCCAGGAGAUUCGGAAUUUCGUGGAAAUAAUCAUUAUCGGAAAUGUGUGGUUUCUUGUGACAGCAUAAUGAUUGUAAUGGUAUGGACUCCAACUGCUUAUACUCGUGGACCCUUUUUUAUUGAUGAUUUACAGCUGCUGAAAAACCUACCCUUAAGUCGUCACCCUUUGGGGUUAAUUCAAGCAUGCCUCCCCAGUAGGAACUCUUUGUUUCCGGUCUUCAAGAUGAUUCAACCUUAUUUGCUAAAUCUCAGUGAAGCAAACAGCUAACUGUUCCAUUUUGGGUAUUAAGCAGAACAAUAACAAGAGGUCACAGUUCUUACCCAGCAGCAACCCCCAAAUCAUAAAUGAGUACAUGAAUAAAUCCAUUGAGUCACACUACAAGAUUCUUUGGACUUAAUUAGUGAACAACCCAGAGGGAUUUAUUCUGGAAUAAGAAUUGUGAAUGGAAAUACAGAGACACAAGAUGAGUAAAGUGAUGAACCGCACAAUGCAGAGAACAAUGUAUCUGGGGCUAAUGGUUACCAAAGGCAGUCUUGAAUACCAUAUUUGUUGUGCUCGGCCCAGCGUAUACAUCCAGCUUGAAUUUGCUCCUGGUCAAUUCUCACAUAGUAAUCAGUCCAUGUAGCCUAUAAAGUGUUAUUUGAAGUCUUUCCAUUCGUUUUCUUAUGUAAUUUUCCAAACGUGAGGUUAGACCUCAGAAGUGCCCUCCAUGUUAUACCUAGUGUACGUUCUCCUUGACUUUUCAUGUGGUUUCAGACCAUCCCUCACCCUUACCUUCCUUUCCCAUAAUCCUAAACUUAGUUUUCAUCUUGCCAGUCUUUCAUCCUCUCAAACAACAUUGUAAGAUCUCCUUCUGAUUUUGUUGUCAACACCAAGUCAUCUACAUGCAGAAGCUCCCUGGGGAUUCUCUCUUCAUUUUUGUGUAAACGUCCCUAGUUGUUGGGUUAUUGUUUCUGCCACGAUAUUCACCCAAGUUUUCAUAUGAUAAUGCUAGCUACCAACACUUAACAAGUCCUCCUUUUGCCAGUU